rnacentral:rRNA from 1 species
AACGAACGCUGGCGGCGUGCCUAACACAUGCAAGUCGUACGAGAAACACAUCCUUCGGGGUGUGGAGUAAAGUGGCGCACGGGUGAGUAACACGUGGGUAACCUGCCUCGGGGACCGGGAUAACAUCGCGAAAGCGGUGCUAAUACCGGAUAAGACCACACGAGCUUCGGCUCAAGGGGUCAAAGUCGGCCUCUCGAUGAAGCCGGCGCCACGAGAGGGGCCCGCGGACCAUUAGCUAGUUGGUAGGGUAAUGGCCUACCAAGGCCGAGAUGGUUAGCUGGUCUGAGAGGAUGAUCAGCCACACUGGAACUGAGAUACGGUCCAGACUCCUACGGGAGGCAG